rnacentral:rRNA from 1 species
GCAACGAGCGCAACCCUUGUCAUUAGUUGCUACGAAAGGGCAACUCUAAUGAGACUGCCGGUGACAAACCGGAGGAAGGUGGGGAUGACGUCAAGUCCUCAUGGCCCUUAUAGGUGGGGCUACACACGUCAUACAAUGGCUGGUACAAAGGGUUGCCAACCCGCGAGGGGGAGCCAAUCCCAUAAAGCCAGUCGUAGUCCGGAUCGCAGUCUGCAACUCGACUGCGUGAAGUCGGAAUCGCUAGUAAUCGUGGAUCAGCAUGUCACGGUGAAUACGUUCCCGGGUCUU